rnacentral:rRNA from 1 species
GACGAACCGUGCGAACGUUGUUCGGAAUCACUGGGCUUAAAGGGCGCGUAGGCGGGCGGCCAAGUCAGGGGUGAAAUCUUUCGGCUCAACCGGAAAAGUGCCUCUGAUACUGGUCGCCUCGAGGGAGGUAGGGGUCUGCGGAACUUCCGGUGGAGCGGUGAAAUGCGUAGAUAUCGGAAGGAACGCCGGUGGCGAAAGCGGCGGACUGGACCUCUUCUGACGCUGAGGCGCGAAAGCCAGGGGAGCAAACGGG